rnacentral:rRNA from 1 species
UACGAAGGGGGCUAGCGUUGUUCGGAAUUACUGGGCGUAAAGCGUGCGCAGGCGGUUCUUCAAGUCAGGGGUGAAAGCCCAGAGCUCAACUCUGGAAUUGCCUUUGAGACUGAGUGGCUUGAGGACGGGAGAGGUGAGUGGAAUUCCCAGUGUAGAGGUGAAAUUCGUAGAUAUUGGGAAGAACACCGGUGGCGAAGGCGGCUCACUGGCCCGUAACUGACGCUCAUGCACGACAGCGUGGGGAUCAAACAGG